rnacentral:lncRNA from 1 species
UUUUUGUAUUCAAAGAUCAGAUCACUUUUUAAGCGACCGGGAAAAUUUUUGCGUCCGUAUAAUAUUAUCAUAUGUUGUUGUUUGGUGUUUGUUGUUUAUUUCUUGACCAAUUUCAAUGGGAUUUAAUUCCGGGGGUUCUUUAAAAUGCUGCAUCUAACUGUGUUUUUAUGUUUUUGGAUUCAAGGCCCCGUGUUUAAAUUGGUCUAAACGUGAGGUCUAAAGGUCCAAAAUUAAACUUUGUUUAAUUUCAUCAAACAUUAACAUGUAUGCCAAAU